UAUACAUGCAAGUCGAGCGGACAGAUGGGAGCUUGCUCCCUGAUGUUAGCGGCGGACGGGUGAGUAACACGUGGGUAACCUGCCUGUAAGACUGGGAUAACUCCGGGAAACCGGGGCUAAUACCGGAUGCUUGUUUGAACCGCAUGGUUCAAACAUAAAAGGUGGCUUCGGCUACCACUUACAGAUGGACCCGCGGCGCAUUAGCUAGUUGGUGAGGUAACGGCUCACCAAGGCAACGAUGCGUAGCCGACCUGAGAGGGUGAUCGGCCACACUGGGACUGAGACACGGCCCAGACUCCUACGGGAGGCAGCAGUAGGGAAUCUUCCGCAAUGGACGAAAGUCUGACGGAGCAACGCCGCGUGAGUGAUGAAGGUUUUCGGAUCGUAAAGCUCUGUUGUUAGGGAAGAACAAGUACCGUUCGAAUAGGGCGGUACCUUGACGGUACCUAACCAGAAAGCCACGGCUAACUACGUGCCAGCAGCCGCGGUAAUACGUAGGUGGCAAGCGUUGUCCGGAAUUAUUGGGCGUAAAGGGCUCGCAGGCGGUUCCUUAAGUCUGAUGUGAAAGCCCCCGGCUCAACCGGGGAGGGUCAUUGGAAACUGGGGAACUUGAGUGCAGAAGAGGAGAGUGGAAUUCCACGUGUAGCGGUGAAAUGCGUAGAGAUGUGGAGGAACACCAGUGGCGAAGGCGACUCUCUGGUCUGUAACUGACGCUGAGGAGCGAAAGCGUGGGGAGCGAACAGGAUUAGAUACCCUGGUAGUCCACGCCGUAAACGAUGAGUGCUAAGUGUUAGGGGGUUUCCGCCCCUUAGUGCUGCAGCUAACGCAUUAAGCACUCCGCCUGGGGAGUACGGUCGCAAGACUGAAACUCAAA
rnacentral:rRNA from 1 species